rnacentral:lncRNA from 1 species
UGAAUAAACGCACUACAUAAAAAUAAAAUAAAAUAUGUUUCAACCCAAGCGCCACAUACCUCUCGAUUUUUGUUAAAAACCGAGGGAAUUUUUUUUAAUACAGAAAAUGUUAAUAUAAGUUAAGUUUAGGGUAAAAUCUAAUUAAUGAGUGCUUUUAUAGUAAAAUAUGAUAAUCUAAUCUCUUGGUUAUUAAAUAUAAUUGAAUGAUUAGAUCAUUAAUUAAAAAAUUAAAAAUAAAAUAAAAAUAAAGGUUCAUGGAUUGUUGG